GGAUGUAGCUCAGUUGGUCAGAGCAUCGGAUUGUGGUUCCGAGGGUCGCGAGUUCAAGUCUCGUCUUC
rnacentral:tRNA from 1 species